UACAGAGGUGGCAAGCGUUUGUUCGGAAUUACUGGGCGUAAAGGGCGCGUAGGCGGCCUUCUAAGUCAGACGUGAAAUCCCCCGGCUUAACCGGGGAACUGCGUCUGAUACUGGAUGGCUUGAGUUCGGGAGAGGGAUGCGGAAUUCCAGGUGUAGCGGUGAAAUGCGUAGAUAUCUGGAGGAACACCGGUGGCGAAGGCGGCAUCCUGGACCGACACUGACACUGAGGAGCGAAAGCCAGGGGAGCAAACGGG
rnacentral:rRNA from 1 species